GAUGAAGAACGCAGCGAAAUGCGAUAAGUAAUGUGAAUUGCAGAAUUCAGUGAAUCAUCGAAUCUUUGAACGCACCUUGCGCCCUUUGGCUAUUCCGAAGGGCAUGCCUGUUUGAGUAUCGUGAACACCUCAACUCUCAUGGUUUGCCAUGAUGAGCUUGGACUUUGGGGGUUUUGCUGGCCUUUGGUCGGCUCCUCUUAAAUGAAUCAGCUUGCCAGUGUUUGGUGGCAUCACAGGUGUGAUAACUAUCUACGCUUGUGGUUUUCCAUCAAGUCACCUUCAGCGAUGGAGGUUCGCUGGGGCUCAUAAAGAAGGCCUCUCCUCGGUGAGGAUGGCUCCUUUGAACGUUUGAUCUCAAAUCAGGUAGGACUACCCGCUGAACUUAAGCAUAUCAAUAAGCGGAGGA
rnacentral:misc_RNA from 1 species